UACGUAGGGGGCUAGCGUUGUCCGGAAUCAUUGGGCGUAAAGCGCGUGUAGGCGGUUCGGUAAGUCCGCUGUGAAAGUCGAGGGCUCAACCCUCGAAAGCCGGUGGAUACUGUCGGGCUAGAGUGCGGAAGAGGCGAGUGGAAUUCCUGGUGUAGCGGUGAAAUGCGCAGAUAUCAGGAGGAACACCAAUGGCGAAGGCAGCAAACUGGGCAUCAUCUGACGCUGAGGCGCGAAAGCGUGGGGAGCGAACCGG
rnacentral:rRNA from 1 species